rnacentral:ncRNA from 1 species
AACUUGUUGAAGACGUUGCAAUAGCCGCCUCCUGCUAUUCGUGAACAUUUGCAGGUCAAGGUGGGUAGCGUCACACUUUUAGAUUUUGGUGACCUUGGAUAACUAUUAGUACAUUCGCACAGGCUGGAAUAUACUAAUCCUCGAGUAAUGGGUUCUCUACGAGUCCGUUAUAUCAUCUGUCGACGGCUUAGUAAGCACUGAUCGUAACUAGGAGUUAGUGCUCUAUUCUGGAGAGUAAGAAUGCAAAACGGUUACUACAUUUAAGGAUCUCAGCAAGGGUGCAAAUUAUCCACUUUUCGCACUGAGAAGUAGAGACAAGAAGUAAUCAGUCGGGACUCUGCCGUGGCUCCGCGAUCGGAAUGACUAUAUAUUAAAUCCAUUAGCUAAUAUCGAUUUGAAGGUAGUUCUGGUGCCAGCAGUCACAAAAAUUCCAGCUCUAGAAGUAUCUAUUGAAUUUGUUGCGUUUGAAAACUUUGUAGUCAGGAUUUGAGUUUCGAAAUGUGUCGCAGUACGUCCGAAGCGACGAUGCUCAUGUAGGCACACUUCUAAUGAAACCCUUCUGUAGGUACAUUCUUGAAAUGAGUUCCAUUGUGUAUGAAAAUACAAAAUUAAUGAGAAUGAUAUUGCAGUGAAAAUAGCCCGACAAAUGUUACUUGCGGGCAUUUUGCUCUCAAAAAGUUAGAAAAAUAUGAAGUGACGAAUAGCAGCAGAACCAAGGAGAAAAUCAACAGACCCCAGUGACCUGUCUAAUUUUCAGGAUUAAAAGUUAAUGAACAAGACCCCUCUUUCCCGGUUACGGCUGGUUAAGC